AAACAAGCCAUGGACAAGCUCUUCUCUUUUUCCCACUUCCAAAAACAAGUCCCAUCAUGAAGGAAGAAGAGUUGUUGUGGCUUCUCUGAGUGCCUUGUUCAAAAUGGAAAGAUGCAGAAAAAAAAAGAAGCAAAACACAUGUUCAUCACUUUGUUCUCCUGAUUUCCCACCUCUACGAUUCCAAAGUUAGUCAAGCAUGUUUAUGUAGAUACCGGUAAAUAUUUAAAAGGAACAUGAAAAGCUUUGCCAUACAUUUGAUUUUAAAUCAGACAAUAAAGGAAAGCCUGUUAAAUGACACAGAUUUAUCAGACAAUGUGUAAACUUCAUGUGAUAUUUUCCAGAUAGUACUUCUUAACAAUUAAUGUGCAUACCAAUCACCUGGGUCUUGUUACAAAAAAUUCUGAAUCAGUAGGACUGCCAUGGAGCCUGAGAUGCUGCAUUUCAAAUAAACUUCCAAUAGAUGCAGUCUCUGUCUCAUUCAGGUCCUUUCCUUGAGUAGAAAGGGUUGAAAGGGUAUUUCUGGAUUGUUGCUACAUUUUGAGAGCCAAAGUGUAACAAGGAGAAAUGAUUCCCGUGUUUAUUUAAACAAUGUGAGUAUCUCUUCCUUCUACUCGCCAGAUCACUACUUUGUUUCGACUGCCAGAUCAUGGAUGAUAAGAAUAAAUAGCUUCCUACAGAUAUAUCUAAACAUCACCAAUAUUUCUUCAAGAGCUGUUAAUUUUAGAAAUUCAGAGCGGCUCUCGGGCCACAGCUGCUUGCCAGGCCGUCCAAGUACCACCAGAAAAUGCACAGUUGCAUAUUGACCUUGUAGUAAUUGAGGUUAUGAAAAGGCUCUUGUUCCCAGAACUCUUGAAUGAACGCCUCUCCCAGCGGGACCCUGCAGGACCCUUGAAGAGAGCUGACCCACUGAACUACUGAACUGCCCAGAACCUCAACUUUGGGCUGUGCGGAGGUCAGGUCAAGAAGCAAAUGUUAAAGAUGGGACGUGAGGAAUGCCAGAUCGUCACACAUUGAGCUGAAGUCAUUGAUUCUUUGCCUUGUCCUGCUGACUGCUCUUCCUCAUCCAUUCUGCACGAAGUGAAGCAGGGGAACUGAAAUCUGUUAGCACUUUCCCGUAGGUAUCAUGUGGAAAUCUUCUCCUGAUGUGUGUCUCCCCCAUUAUUAAAAGCAAGGGAGGGGUUGCUAGUACAGAUUUCACUGGUGAAGCAAACUGAACCAUCUGCUGAACUCUCUAGCAGUCUACUGGCUGAGCCUGGCGCAAGAUUCCACGGCUAAACUGUUCCUCUCUCACCAGUAAUAGCCAUUACAGUCAAGUGAGAAUUAACAUGAAAGUGGUG
rnacentral:lncRNA from 1 species